ensembl:miRNA
UAUUAGGAUAGUACAAAAGUAAUUGCAGUUUUUGCAAUUACUUUCAAUGGCAAAAACUGCAAUCACUUUUGCACCAACCUAAUAAA